UACGUAGGGUGCGAGCGUUAAUCGGAAUUACUGGGCGUAAAGCGUGCGCAGGCGGCUUUGCAAGACAGAUGUGAAAUCCCCGGGCUCAACCUGGGAACUGCAUUUGUGACUGCAAGGCUAGAGUACGGCAGAGCGGGAUGGAAUUCCGCGUGUAGCAGUGAAAUGCGUAGAUAUGCGGAGGAACACCAAUGGCGAAGGCAAUCCCCUGGGCCUGUACUGACGCUCAUGCACGGAAGCGUGGGGAGCAAACAGG
rnacentral:rRNA from 1 species